rnacentral:rRNA from 1 species
UACGUAGGGGGCAAGCGUUGUCCGGAAUCAUUGGGCGUAAAGCGCGUGUAGGCGACCCGGUAAGUCCGCUGUGAAAGUCCAGGGCUCAACCCUGGGAUGCCGGUGGAUACUGUCGGGCUCGAGUCCGGAAGAGGCGAGUGGAAUUCCUGGUGUAGCGGUGAAAUGCGCAGAUAUCAGGAGGAACACCGAUGGCGAAGGCAGCUCGCUGGGACGUGACUGACGCUGAGACGCGAAAGCGUGGGGAGCAAAC